rnacentral:rRNA from 1 species
AAUGAACGUUGGCGGCGUGGAUUAGGCAUGCAAGUCGUGCGCGAUAUGUAGCAAUACAUGGAGAGCGGCGAAAGGGAGAGUAUAACGUAGGUAUCUACCCUCGGGUCUGGGAUAGCGGCGGGAAACUGCCGGUAAUACCAGAUGAUGUCCCCGGACCAAAGGUGUGAUUCCGCUCGAGGAGGAGCCUACGCCCUAUUAGCUAGUUGGUGGGGUAAUGGCCUACCAAGGCAAAGAUGGGUAUGGGGUGUGAGAGCAUGCCCCCACUCACUGGGACUGAGACACUGCCCAGACACCUACGGGUGGCUGCAGUCGAGAAUCUUCGGCAAUGGGCGCAAGCCUGACCGAGCGACGCCGCGUGCGGGAUGAAGGCUUUCGGGUUGUAAACCGCUGUCGUAGGGGAAGAAAUGUUAGUGGGUACUCCCAUUAACUUGACUGAUCCUAGGAGGAAGGACGGGCUAAGUUCGUGCCAGCAGCCGCGGUAACAC